GCGUAAAGGGCUCGCAGGCGGUUUCUUAAGUCUGAUGUGAAAGCCCCCGGCUCAACCGGGGAGGGUCAUUGGAAACUGGGGAACUUGAGUGCAGAAGAGGAGAGUGGAAUUCCACGUGUAGCGGUGAAAUGCGUAGAGAUGUGGAGGAACACCAGUGGCGAAGGCGACUCUCUGGUCUGUAACUGACGCUGAGGAGCGAAAGCGUGGGGAGCGAACAGGAUUAGAAUACCCUGGUAGUCCACGCC
rnacentral:rRNA from 1 species